rnacentral:rRNA from 1 species
UACGAGGGGGGCAAGCGUUGUUCGGAAUUAUUGGGUGUAAAGGGUGCGUAGGCGGUUUGGUAAGUCUUAUGUGAAAUCUACAGGCUCAACUUGUAGUCUGCAUGAGAAACUGCCGGGCUUGAGUAUGGGAGAGGUGAGUGGAAUUCCUGGUGUAGCGGUGAAAUGCGUAGAUAUCAGGAGGAACACCUGUGGCGAAAGCGGCUCACUGGACCAUAACUGACGCUGAUGCACGAAAGCUAGGGGAGCAAACAGG